UACGUAGGGGGCUAGCGUUGUCCGGAAUCAUUGGGCGUAAAGAGCGCGUAGGCGGCUGGAAUAGUCCGGUGUGAAAGUCACAGGCUUAACCUGUGAAUGCCGCUGGAAACUGUCUGGCUAGAGUCCGGAAGGGGCGAGUGGAAUUCCUGGUGUAGCGGUGAAAUGCGCAGAUAUCAGGAGGAACACCAAUGGCGAAGGCAGCUCGCUAGGACGGUACUGACGCUGAGGCGCGAAAGCGUGGGGAGCAAACAGG
rnacentral:rRNA from 1 species